GAUGAACGCUGACAGAAUGCUUAACACAUGCAAGUCAACUUGAAUUUGGGUUUUUAACUUAGGUUUGGGUGGCGGACGGGUGAGUAACGCGUAAAGAACUUGCCUCACAGCUAGGGACAACAUUUGGAAACGAAUGCUAAUACCUAAUAUUAUGAUAAUAGGGCAUCCUAUAAUUAUGAAAGCUAUAAGCGCUGUGAGAGAGCUUUGCGUCCCAUUAGCUAGUUGGAGAGGUAACGGCUCACCAAGGCGAUGAUGGGUAGCCGGCCUGAGAGGGUGAUCGGCCACAAGGGGACUGAGACACGGCCCUUACUCCUACGGGAGGCAGCAGUGGGGAAUAUUGGACAAUGGACCAAGAGUCUGAUCCAGCAAUUCUGUGUGCACGAUGAAGUUUUUCGGAAUGUAAAGUGCUUUCAGUUGGGAAGAAAGAAAUGACGGUACCAACAGAAGAAGUGGCGGCUAAAUACGUG
rnacentral:rRNA from 1 species